rfam:Epulopiscium sp. AS2M-Bin001 AS2M_MBin01_106, whole genome shotgun sequence.
GAACGCCGUAUGAGGUGAAAGUCUCACGUACGGUGUGGAGCAGGGGAAAAGAUGGAGAUCAUAUCAAAGUCUUACCUAUUGCUAU